UCUUCCGUAGUAUAGUGGUCAGUAUGUGAGCCUGUCAUUGGAAGCUUAUCAUGAAAUAUGAGACUUGAAAAUAACUUCGCUCGAGACCCGGGUUCAAUUCCCGGCGGGAGAG